CCUACGGGAGGCAGCAGUGGGGAAUAUUGGACAAUGGGGGCAACCCUGAUCCAGCAAUGCCGCGUGAGUGAUGAAGGCCUUCGGGUUGUAAAGCUCUUUCGGCGGGGAACAUGAUGACGGUACCCGCAGAAGAAGCCCCGGCUAACUUCGUGCCAGCAGCCGCGGUAAU
rnacentral:rRNA from 1 species